rnacentral:lncRNA from 1 species
GGAUAUUGAAAAAGUUAAUUGGCCGACAAGUAAUCUUUCCCUUUAUCUUUGCCUCUUUUAGCAUAGUUUAAUCUACUUGCAUAUAGUUUCCGUGCUCCAGGAGAUAUGAGUGAAUCAGGAGUUAAGAGACAUGCAUCAUGAUCAAAUGAACUGAAAAACUAUGUUUUGGAUGGGGAGCAGAACCUGUGGGAAGCAGAAUUCUCCCACCUGACUAUGGAGGGAGCUCAGGGGUGCAGCAGUGGCUUAGUGUGCGCGAAGCCCUGAGUCCAACCCAGCACCGCCGGGGAAGAGAAAGAAAAGGACAUGUAGCAGAUGUAGUGUGCUUCUGUACUAACAAGACGGCGUGUUUACAAAUAAAAACAAUUCCUCUUGGGAUCUCCUUGAUUAUUUUUAAAGAGCAGCUUUUGAGUUCCAUUAAUUUAAGUUAGUUUUAUAACUUUAUAUUUGCACAUAAAUAUUCACACAAAGUUUGCAGACUGACGAUCUUACCAGUUAGUGAACGUCUACCAUGUGACCUCCUUUCCAGUGCCUUAAUAAUUUGCUGCAAGGGCCGGGGAUUUAGCUCAGUGGUUCCACCACCUGCCUUGCAGGCGCAAGGACCCGAGUUCGAUCCCUGGUACUCCCCCCACCCCAAUUGCUGAAACAAUAGCAGCAGAGAAUAGAAAUAUAAUUAUGGACAUUUCGCUUUCUCAUCAAAUGUUUAUUUGGGAAUCUAAUACUUC